rnacentral:rRNA from 1 species
AGAGUUUGAUCCUGGCUCAGGAUGACCUCUGGCGGCGUGCUUAACACAUGCAAGUCGAGCGAAGCACUGUAAUUGGAAGCCUACGGGAAGAAGAAUAUAGUGUAUCUGAGCGGCGGACGGGUGAGUAACGCGUGGGCAACCUGCCUUGCACAGGGGGAUAACAGUUAGAAAUGACUGCUAAUACCGCAUAAGACCACAGCCCCGCAUGGGGCGGAGGUAAAAACCGAGGUGGUGCAAGAUGGGCCCGCGUCUGAUUAGGCAGUUGGUGGGGUAACGGCCCACCAAACCGACGAUCAGUAGCCGACCUGAGAGGGCGACCGGCCACAUUGGGACUGAGACACGGCCCAAACUCCUACGGGAGGCAGCAGUGGGGAAUAUUGCACAAUGGGGGAAACCCUGAUGCAGCGACGCCGCGUGAGUGAAGAAGUAUUUCGGUAUGUAAAGCUCUAUCAGCAGGGAAGAAAAUGACGGUACCUGACUAAGAAGCCCCGGCUAACUACGUGCCAGCAGCCGCGGUAAUACGUAGGGGGCAAGCGUUAUCCUGCGUAACUGGAGGGAAGACGGCAUAGCCGGUCUGCUAUGUCACCAGGAGACUCACCUCCGCCCCCUCCACCCGAUCCUUCUCUAUCUAUCGUGUUGGAGAGCGGCAGAGGAAUUCCUAGUUUUUCGUGGAGCUGCGUAGAUAUUAGGAGGAACACCAGCCGCGACGGCGGCGUCCGCGCCGACGACUGACGUUGAGGCUCCAAAGCGUGGGGGGCUCGCUGAAGGAGAUUCCUUGGUACUCCUCGUCCUCACACGAUGACUACUAGGUGUCGGGGGGAGAAGCCGUUCCGGUGCCCCAGCCAACGCAAUAAGUAGUCCCCCUGGGGAGUACGUUCGCAAGAAUGAAACUCAAAGGAAUUGACGGGGACCCGCACAAGCGGUGGAGCAUGUGGUUUAAUUCGAAGCAACGCGAAGAACCUUACCUGGGCUUGACAUCCCGAUGUUGUCAGGGUAAUGCCUGAGUCCCUUCGGGGCAUCGGAGACAGGUGGUGCAUGGUUGUCGUCAGCUCGUGUCGUGAGAUGUUGGGUUAAGUCCCGCAACGAGCGCAACCCUUAUCUUCAGUAGCCAGCACGUAGAGGUGGGCACUCUGGAGAGACUGCCAGGGAGAACCUGGAGGAAGGUGGGGAUGACGUCAAAUCAUCAUGCCCCUUAUGUCCAGGGCUACACACGUGCUACAAUGGCGUAAACAAAGGGAAGCGAACACGCGAGUGUAAGCGAAUCUCAAAAAUAACGUCCCAGUUCGGAUUGCAGUCUGCAACUCAACUGCAUGAAGCUGGAAUCGCUAGUAAUCGCGAAUCAGAAUGUCGCGGUGAAUACGUUCCCGGGUCUUGCACUAACCGCCCGUCA